rnacentral:lncRNA from 1 species
AUUCCAUUUCUUUUUCUUCCAAUUCAAUUUAAUAAACAAUGACUGCAUAUCUACCACAGGCCAAGAGCAGUGAUUGUUCUGUUAUGCACACCUGGCCCUGUUUCCUACUGGUCCCUGCAUACAACUGCAUGUGCUUCUCUACGGGGUCUCUCCAGCCACUUGUUUCACUUUUUUUUUGCAGUACCAGGGAUCGAAUUCAGGACCUUGCGCUUACAAGACAGGCAACAGUACCACUGAGCUAAAUCCCCAGCCCCAAUUUCUUUUUUCAUCUUUGGUUUCUUCCUUGAGGUUUCUGGUAAACUUUUCAUUAGACUGUGCCUCUCUGUUUUUGCUAAAUGUUACAGAAGCCAUCAUGGAGGGAUAAAUUGAACCCAGGGCCUCAUGCAUGGUACCUAAGUGCUGUACCACUAACCUACAUCCCUGUCCCUUUUUGCUUUUGUUAAAGAUGACAUUCUGUGUGGAAUACAAAAGUAAAGAAGGGAAGUGUAAGAAGAUAAGGAGAGGCUGGGGAUUUAGCUCAGUGGUUAAACACAAGGUCCCUAGUUCGAUCCCUGGUACCCAACCCCCCCCCAAAAAGAAGACAAGGAGGGAAGCUUCAGUAAGAGACCACGCACAGCUUCAUUAUGACCCUACAAGUUCCAUGACACCCAGGGAUGUAGCUCAGUGGUUCCGUCACCUGCCUCGCAAGCACAAGGUCCCAAGUUUGAUCCUGGGUACAAAAAACAAAAACAAGUUCCAUGACAGAGGGAAGGCUCAAAGAAGAAAAGCACUUACCAAGAAGGAAAGGACCAAAUAUAAACUCAGCAGUGCACCAUGCCCAGCUUCAGCCAAUCCAACUGGCAGUUAAGAAACUCCACCCAGUUCUGGCUGGCACUAAAGGAGAGCCGACACCACUCUGCCAGAAAAUGAGCCCCACAUCAUCAGCAGGCACUGAGAGGUCACAUGGCCCCCAGACACAGUACUGCAGACAUCUGACCUUCCAUUGUGACACACGCCUGCUGAAGUGGAAUUAUCUGGUGAGAAAAGUUUUCAAAAAUAGGUAAACUAAGGCAAGAGGAAAACUACAUGACAUGACGAUGAGGCACAGAACAGAAUCUUGGGCUCCUGACUCCUGCUUUGCUAUUAAUACCUCUGUGUUCACAGUAGUGACUGAGAAUAUAUGAUGAGGUCACAGGCACUUUCUUUGUUGUGUGGUUUAUGUAGAUAGUUCACAAGCUCUGAAGUUACUAAACCAAAACAAUUUUCAAGGUAUAGCCAGAUUAAACUGUACUUAUAUCUCAUUUAAACACAGUAGUUUGAGACAACGUUUGAAGCUCCAGAAAGUGCUCCUGAAAACCGUUAUCAGUCUCAUCUGCAGCCACUUAUCUUGGUCUGUGCUCAUUCUGCCUGACAAGAAAUUGGUGAUCUGGCUUUAAAAUGACCCAAGACCUGCUGGCCAGGUGCACACCUAUAAUCCCAGCACUCAGGAGGCUGAGGCAGGAGGAUCACACCAAGAGAUUGAAGCCAGCCUGGGCUACAUAGUGAGUUCAACACCAGCCUGAACUACAGAAUUAGACCCUGUAUUCAAAAAAAGAAAAAAAGAACUGUUGCUGCCUCUGUCCUCCAAUUCUCUCCAGAAGGUGCUGCUAUGGAGGUAAAGAGGAGAAAGAAAACUCAGGAAAAGCAAGCACAGAAGCCUAAGUCCUACAUUCACAAACAUUUUCCCAACCACUAAAAUAUUUUCAUUUCACUCUCUCACAUUAGCUGUAUUUCUUUGUUUUUUGGGUUUUGGUGGGUUUUUUGCUUUUUCUUUUUUUUGAGACAGUGUCUCACUCUGUAGUUCAGGCUGCCCUUGAACUCUUGG